rnacentral:rRNA from 1 species
UAGUCCACGCCGUAAACGAUGUCUACUAGCCGUUGGGGAACUUGAUUCUUUAGUGGCGCAGCUAACGCACUAAGUAGACCGCCUGGGGAGUACGGCCGCAAGGUUAAAACUCAAAUGAAUUGACGGGGGCCCGCACAAGCGGUGGAGCAUGUGGUUUAAUUCGAUGAUACGCGAGGAACCUUACCAGGGCUUAAAUGUAAGUUGCAUGAUUUAGAGAUAGAUCUUUCUUCGGACUACUUACAAGGUGCUGCAUGGUUGUCGUCAGCUCGUGCCGUGAGGUGUCAGGUUAAGUCCUAUAACGAGCGCAACCCCUGUUGUUAGUUGCCAGCAUGUAAAGAUGGGAACUCUAACAAGACUGCCAGUGCAAACUGUGAGGAAGGUGGGGAUGACGUCAAAUCAUCACGGGCCCUUACGUCCUGGGGCUACACACGUGCUACAAUGGCCGGUACAGAGAGCAGCCACACCGCGAGGGUGGGAGCGGAAUCUAUAAAACCGGGU